AUUGAACGCUGGCGGCAUGCCUUACACAUGCAAGUCGAACGGCAGCACGGGGCAACCUGGUGGCGAGUGGCGAACGGGUGAGUAAUGUAUCGGAACGUACCAUUGAGUGGGGGAUAACGUAGCGAAAGUUCCGCUAAUACCGCAUAUACCCUGAGGGGGAAAGCAGGGGAUCGCAAGACCUUGUGCUCUUUGAGCGGCCGAUAUCAGAUUAGCUAGUUGGUGAGGUAAAGGCUCACCAAGGCGACGAUCUGUAGCGGGUCUGAGAGGAUGAGCCGCCACACUGGGACUGAGACACGGCCCAGACUCCUACGGGAGGCAGCAGUGGGGAAUUUUGGACAAUGGGCGCAAGCCUGAUCCAGCCAUGCCGCGUGAGUGAAGAAGGCCUUCGGGUUGUAAAGCUCUUUCGGCCGGGAAGAAAUCGCACAGGUUAAUACCCUGUGUGGAUGACGGUACCGGAAUAAGAAGCACCGGCUAACUACGUGCCAGCCGCCGCCGUAAUAC
rnacentral:rRNA from 1 species